rnacentral:lncRNA from 1 species
GAAUAUUUUUGCUAUCUUUUGCACAACAUUGCAUCGCAAAAAUCUACGCGCACGUGUGCGCCGAAGUGCAGCUACCGAGGUUUCUUUUUUAAGAUAAACUGAUGAGAUUGCAAAGAUUCUUGGAAAGAUAACAAAAAGGGGAUGUGCUAUGAUUGGUCUUGACGUCAUUAAAAACAAUGUGGGCAGAUAACUCUUAGUUGGCACCUAAAGCACUAAAAUUAAAGGAUCCUUGAAUGACAGGAGGCAACAUCUUCUUCCCUGAACCAGGAUAAUCUUACAGAGCUUCAGGAAAACCCCAGGGUAAAGCUCUACCUGCUAUCAUCAUCAGUGACAGUGGAUUGCUACUCAGCAAGUAUUAAAUGCACCAUCUCGUCAACUUUUCUCAAUAAAAGGGCUCAGGAAGAGUUGCCACAGGAGAUUGAAAGGAAUUUAUUGUUUUACUGAUUUGGAAACAGCGUGUAUGUGGGCUGUGGAGAACACAGCAAAACUCAGAUUUGGGAAAAAUAGGAAACAAAGUUGCACAGCU